AAUAAAGUGCCUGAGUUUUAAAAGGAUUAUCUUGAUAGGAUAAAUUAUGUGAUUUUCACCUUUAUUA
rnacentral:tRNA from 1 species